ensembl:snRNA U6 U6 spliceosomal RNA
AUGCUUGCUUCAGCAGCACAUAUACUAAAAUUGGAAGGCUACAGAGAAGAUUAGCAGCUACUGAGCAAGGGUGACAUACAAAUUUGUGAAGCAUUCCAUAUUUAA